CGUGGCCUUCCAGCGGAAGUGACGUGUCACCUGACCUAGUGAGCCGCUGACCUUGGUUCUGAUGUAUCUGCGGCAGGGGAGGCUGCAGUGUCCUUCUAGCUGCGAGUCCUGAGGCGGAGCAGGCGGCUCCAUCUUCUCUAUUAUACCUCAGCAACUCUACCGGUAUGCCCACUGCAUUUCUACAUGCAAGAUUGCGGGAGAACAGAAUGAUAGCAACACUUUAAACAAUAGAGAAAUGCUGCAUGGAUCUGCAAGGCUUAUGAAGAAACCGCAAGCCGCUGUGGUAAGGGCUAUUGAUUGACCUCAUCCAUUGCUCUCUAUUCAUCACAUAUAUAAAAUACAGAUGAGAAUGAUCAAUACUUUUGAAUUUAUGUGAAUAAACUUCUCCUGGGUAUA